rnacentral:rRNA from 1 species
UACGGGGGGGGCAAGCGUUGUUCGGAAUUACUGGGCGUAAAGCGCGUGUAGGCUGCCUUGCAAGUCGGGUGUGAAAGCCCUGGGCUCAACCUAGGAAGUGCACUCGAAACUGCAAGGCUGGAGUCCUGGAGAGGAAGGCGGAAUUCUCGGUGUAGAGGUGAAAUUCGUAGAUAUCGAGAGGAACACCAGUGGCGAAGGCGGCCUUCUGGACAGUGACUGACGCUGAGACGCGAAAGCGUGGGGAGCAAACAGG